rnacentral:rRNA from 1 species
GACGAACGCUGGCGGCGUGCUUAACACAUGCAAGUCGAACGGAAAGGCCCUGCUUGCAGGGUACUCGAGUGGCGAACGGGUGAGUAACACGUGGGUGAUCUGCCCUGCACUUCGGGAUAAGCCUGGGAAACUGGGUCUAAUACCGGAUAUGACCUUCCAUGUAGUGUGGGGGGUGGAAAGAUUUAUCGGUGUGGGAUGAGCCCGCGGCCUAUCAGCUUGUUGGUGGGGUAAUGGCCUACCAAGGCGUCGACGGGUAGCCGGCCUGAGAGGGUGGACGGCCACAUUGGGACUGAGAUACGGCCCAGACUCCUACGGGAGGCAGCAGUGGGGAAUAUUGCACAAUGGGCGGAAGCCUUAUGCAGCGACGCCGCGUGGGGGAUGACGGCCUUCGGGUUGUAAACCUCUCUCGACAGGGACGAAGCUUCGGUGACGGUACCUGUAUAAGAAGCACCGGCUAACUACGUG